GCAUCUUGGGCUCUUCUUUUUCUCCCUCAACUAAAUUUCUCUAUACUCUCUUCCCUUCUUUGACUCACUCACACCAAAAACACAAUAUAUCAAGCAAAAGAAGGAGAAAAAAACACAUAAAGGAAAUCGAUGAACACAUGGUAUUCAUCUCCUCGCGAUUUCCAGAUCGUAUCCACCUGUACUUGGAUUUAAACUCAACACAACAAGAAACUAAACCUUAGAUCCAAAUCUCAACACCAAACUUCUAAAAAAAAUCCAUCAUAGAUAUCUACCCAGACCCUAACAUAAACCAUAAAUCCUCAUUCCCAAUAGCGAUUUGGUUACAACAACAGAUCACAUCACGUAGUUUUAAAGGAAUUUAAAGAUACAAUAAGAGAAAUGAAAUCGUGAAAAAGGAAACACCAACCAUAGGAAAACUGCUUCGAUUCACCUCAGCAACAAGAUAAGAAUCUGUCCAAGUCAAAGAGAGCAAAGUUCAGGUUGUGUAGAGGAAUAAAAGAGACAAACUAGCUCGUAGUCAUUGUGUUACUAAUACACUUGAAGAGCCCCUUUGAUUUUGUAAUAGUUACUAUAAAAAUGCAAAUUGUGUGUAAUAAAGGCUUGGUGAUGUAAUAUAAAUCCCUAUAUAUUUUUUUAGUUUUUU